rnacentral:rRNA from 1 species
CCUACGGGUGGCAGCAGUGAGGAAUCUUGGUCAAUGGCCGGAAGGCUGAACCAGCCAAGCCGCGUGAAGGACGAAGGUGCCAAGCAUUGUAAACUUCUUUUGUCAAGGGACAAAAUCAGGCGCGAGAGCCUGACCGAGGGUACUUGAAGAACAAGCAUCGGCUAACUCCGUGCCAGCAGCCGGGGUAAUACGGGGGAUGCGAGGGUUAGCCGGAUUUGUUCGGUGUAAAGGGUGGGUAGGCGGGUUGUUAAGUCAGCGGUAAAAGCGCGGGGCUCAACCCCGGCGAGCAGAUGAAACUGGGUGUCGUGAGAUGUCGAGAGGUAUGCGGAAUGCGCGGUGUAGCGGUGAAAUGCUUAGAUAUUGCGCAGAACUCCGAUUGCGAAGGCAGCAUACCGGCGGCGAUCUGACGCUGAGGCACGAAGGCGUGGGUAUCGAACAGGAUUAGAUACCCGGGUAGUC